rnacentral:lncRNA from 1 species
CUAUAGGUUGGUAUGUACCCAAUUGUGACUAAACCAAAAGAAACAAAUCUGGAAACUGAAGUAUCAAUACGUGAAAAGCGUUCUUUUGGUAUUGGGAGUGCCAGUUGUCUUUGUUUCAUGAACUACUUCUCCGUAAUAGCAUGCAGCCAUCUUCAAGAGGUGAGAAUUUCACUUAGCGACUUAAACAGAAGUGUUAUCUCAAGAUAAUAUAAUAUCUGGAGGUAUGUGGCUGCUACUGUUUGGUAAAACAGCAUCCCCAGGAUAAACAGGAAUACUACACUCUUCCUUAAAUAACAAAAACUGCGGCUGGGCGUGGUGGCUCACACUUGUAAUCCCAGCACUUUGGGAGGCCGAGGUGGGCGGAUCACGAGGUCAGGAGAUGGAGACCAUCUUGGC